rnacentral:rRNA from 1 species
GAUGAACGCUGGCGGCGUGCUUAACACAUGCAAGUCGAACGAUGAUGCCCAGCUUGCUGGGUGGAUUAGUGGCGAACGGGUGAGUAACACGUGAGUAACCUGCCCUUGACUCUGGGAUAAGCCUGGGAACUGGGUCUAAUACCGGAUACGACCAUCUGGCGCAUGUCAUGGUGGUGGAAAGCUUUUGUGGUUUUGGAUGGACUCGCGGCCUAUCAGCUUGUUGGUGGGGUAAUGGCCUACCAAGGCGACGACGGGUAGCCGGCCUGAGAGGGUGACCGGCCACACUGGGACUGAGACACGGCCCAGACUCCUACGGGAGGCAGCAGUGGGGAAUAUUGCACAAUGGGCGCAAGCCUGAUGCAGCGACGCCGCGUGAGGGAUGACGGCCUUCGGGUUGUAAACCUCUUUCAGUAGGGAAGAAGCGAAAGUGACGGUACCUGCAGAAGAAGCGCCGGCUAACUACGUG